rnacentral:tRNA from 1 species
CCUGCACCUGGCGCACGGUGGCGACGCCGGGGCGCUUCUCGGGCGACCGGUAGAAAGCGGCGGCCUGGUGCGGGUUCUCGCCGUAGCGCAGCACC